UUAGUUGGUGGGGUAAGAGCUCACCAAGGCGAUGAUAGAUAGGCGGCCUUAACGGGUGGUCGCCCACACUGGGAUUGAGAUACGGCCCAGACUCCUACGGGAGGCAGCAGUCGAGAAUAGUCUACAAUGGCCGGAAGGCUGAUAGUGCGACGCCGCGUGAACGAGGGAGCCCUUCGGGGUGUAAAGUUCUUUUCUAUACGAGCAGUGCUAUAUAUAUGGAUAGUAUAUAUAGAGGGAUAGUAGUAUAGGAAUAAGCAACGGCUAACUCCGUGCCAGCAGCCGCGGUAACACGGGGGUUGCGAGCGUUGUCCGGAAUUACUAGGCGUAAAGGGCAGGUAGGCGGAUCUACGAGUUUUUUGUUAAAGGCUACGGCUCAACUGUAGUAGAGCAGGAGAUACUGUAGGUCUGGAAUGCGGUAGGGGAAGACAGAAUUCCUGGUGUAGCGGUGGAAUGCGCAGAGAUCAGGAGGAAUACCGAAGGCGGAGGCAGUCUUCUAGGCCGUAAUUGACGCUUAACUGCGAAGGUGUGGGGAUCAAACAGGAUUAGAUACCCUGGUAGUCCACACAGCAAACGAUAAUCACUAGAUGUCGGGUUCUAGAUGGAUUCGGUGUCGGAGCUAACGCGAUAAGUGAUCGCC
rnacentral:rRNA from 1 species